GACGAACGCUGGCGGCGUGCUUAACACAUGCAAGUCGUACGAUGACCCGGCUCUUCGGCGCUGGUGAUUAGUGGCGAACGGGUGAGUAACACGUGGGUGACCUGCCCUGCACUCUGGGAUAAGCCCGGGAAACUGGGUCUAAUACUGGAUACGACCAGUGGCCGCAUGGUCUGCUGGUGGAAAGCCCUUCGGGGUGGUGUGGGAUGGGCCCGCGGCCUAUCAGCUUGUUGGUGGGGUGAUGGCCUACCAAGGCGACGACGGGUAGCCGGCCUGAGAGGGUGUCCGGCCACACUGGGACUGAGACACGGCCCAGACUCCUACGGGAGGCAGCAGUGGGGAAUCUUGCACAAUGGGCGAAAGCCUGAUGCAGCGACGCCGCGUGAGGGAUGACGGCCUUCGGGUUGUAAACCUCUUUCGGCAGGGAACAAGCCUGGGGAUUUUCUUCUGGGUGAGGGUACCUGCGGAAGAAGCACCGGCUAACUACGUG
rnacentral:rRNA from 1 species